rnacentral:rRNA from 1 species
UCGAACACAGAAGUUAAGCUUCUUAGCGCCGAUUGUAGUGAAGGGUUUCCCUUUGUGAGAGUAGGACAUUGCCGCGC